rnacentral:rRNA from 1 species
GGGCCCGCACAAGCGGUGGAGCAUGUGGUUUAAUUCGAUGCAACGCGAAGAACCUUACCUACCCUUGACAUACAGCGAACCCUAAAGAGAUUUGGGGGUGCCGAAAGGAGCGCUGAUACAGGUGCUGCAUGGCUGUCGUCAGCUCGUGUCGUGAGAUGUUGGGUUAAGUCCCGUAACGAGCGCAACCCCUAUCCUUAUUUUGCCAGCACAUUAUGGUGGGAACUAUAAGGAGACUGCCGGUGAUAAACCGGAGGAAGGCGGGGACGACGUCAAGUCAUCAUGGCCCUUACGACCAGGGCUACACACGUGCUACAAUGGGAUGGACAAAGAGCAGCAAGUUCGCGAGGACAAGCA